UACGUAGGGGGCAAGCGUUGUCCGGAUUUAUUGGGCGUAAAGAGCGUGUAGGCGGUUUGGUAGGUCCGCUGUGAAAACUCGAGGCUCAACCUCGAGACGCCGGUGGAAACCAUCAGGCUAGAGUCCGGAAGAGGAGAGUGGAAUUCCUGGUGUAGCGGUGAAAUGCGCAGAUAUCAGGAAGAACACCCGUGGCGAAGGCGGCUCUCUGGUACGUGACUGACGCUGAGACGCGAAAAGCGUGGGGAGCAAACAGG
rnacentral:rRNA from 1 species